rnacentral:rRNA from 1 species
CCUACGGGUGGCUGCAGUGAGGAAUAUUGGUCAAUGGGCGGAAGCCUGAACCAGCCAAGUAGCGUGCGGGAUGAAGGCCCUACGAGUCGUAAACCGCUUUUGCACGGGGAUAACACCCUCCACUCGUGGAUGUCUGCAGGUACCGUGCGAAUAAGGACCGGCUAAUUCCGUGCCAUCAGCCGCGGUAAUACGGAAGGCCCGAGCGUUAUCCGGAUUCAUUGGGCUUAAAGGGAGCGUAGGCGGGCGUUCAAGUCAGCUGUAAAAUCGCGCGGCUCAACCGCGGCCCGCAGCUGAAACUGGACGGCUUGAGUUCACAACAGGCAGGCGGAAGUCGUGGUGUAGCGGUGAAAUGCAUAGAUAUCA